GCUGGGCAUGGUGACGCACUCCUGUAAUCCCAGCAGCUCAGGAGGCUGAGGCAGGAGGAUCACAAGUUCAGAGCCAGCCUCAGCAACUCAGUGAGACCCUGUCUCUA
rnacentral:sRNA from 1 species